rnacentral:rRNA from 1 species
UAGGGAAUCUUCCGCAAUGGGCGAAAGGUGACGGAGCAACGCGCGGGAGUAAUGAAGGUCUUCGGAUCGUAAAACUCUGUUAUUAGGGAAGAACAUAUGUGUAAGUAACUGUGCACAUCUUGACGGUACCUAAUCAGAAAGCCACGGCUAAUUACGUGCCAGCAGCCGCGGUAAUACGUAGGUGGCAAGCGUUAUCCGGAAUUAUUGGGCGUAAAGGGGGCGUAGGGGUUUUUUUAAGUCUGAUGUGAAAGCCCACGGCUCACCCGUGGAGGGUCAUUGGAAACUGGAAAAACUUGAGUGCGGAAGAGGAAAGGGGAAUUCCUUGUUGUAGCGGUGAAAUGCGCAAAGAUAUGAAGGAACACCAGUGGGGAAGGCAACUUUUCUGGCCUGUACUUAACGCUGAUGUCCGAAAAGCNGGGGGAAUCAAACAGGAAUUANAAUACCUUGUUAGUCCAACGGCCGUAAACNAUGGANNGCUAAAGNGUAAGGGGGUUUCCGCCCCCUUAAGUGCUGGCGGCUAAACGGCAUUAAGCACCUCCCGNCCUGGGGAGUACGACCGCANGUUUG